rnacentral:rRNA from 1 species
AAUAGAUACCCGGGUAGUCCACGCCGUAAACGAUGAAUGCUAGGUGUUAGGGGUUUCGAUACCCUUGGUGCCGAAGUUAACACAUUAAGCAUUCCGCCUGGGGAGUACGGUCGCAAGACUGAAACUCAAAGGAAUUGACGGGGACCCGCACAAGCAGUGGAGUAUGUGGUUUAAUUCGAAGCAACGCGAAGAACCUUACCAGGUCUUGACAUCCCUCUGACCGGUCUAGAGAUAGGCCUUCCCUUCGGGGCAGAGGAGACAGGUGGUGCAUGGUUGUCGUCAGCUCGUGUCGUGAGAUGUUGGGUUAAGUCCCGCAACGAGCGCAACCCUUGAUCUUAGUUGCCAGCACCUUGGGUGGGCACUCUAAGAUGACUGCCGGUGACAAACCGGAGGAAGGUGGGGAUGACGUCAAAUCAUCAUGCCCCUUAUGACCUGGGCUACACACGUACUACAAUGGCCGGUACAACGGGCUGCGAAAUCGCGAGAUGGAGCCAAUCCCACCAAAGCCGGUCUCAGUUCGGAUUGCAGG